AUUGAACGCUGGCGGCAUGCCUUACACAUGCAAGUCGAACGGCAGCACGGGGCAACCUGGUGGCGAGUGGCGAACGGGUGAGUAAUGCAUCGGAACGUACCUUUCAGUGGGGGAUAACGUAGCGAAAGUUACGCUAAUACCGCAUAUUCUGUGAGCAGGAAAGCAGGGGAUCGCAAGACCUUGCGCUGAUUGAGCGGCCGAUGUCAGACUAGCUAGUUGGUGAGGUAAAGGCUCACCAAGGCGACGAUCUGUAGCGGGUCUGAGAGGAUGAUCCGCCACACUGGAACUGAGACACGGUCCAGACUCCUACGGGAGGCAGCAGUGGGGAAUUUUGGACAAUGGGGGCAACCCUGAUCCAGCCAUGCCGCGUGAGUGAAGAAGGCCUUCGGGUUGUAAAGCUCUUUCGGCCGGGAAGAGAUCGCACGGGCUAAUACCCUGUGUGGAUGACGGUACCGGAAUAAGAAGCACCGGCUAACUACGUGCCAGCCGCCGCCGUAAAAC
rnacentral:rRNA from 1 species